CCCGCUAACAAAUUGAAAACUGUACCUAUACGCCUUAUUUUUAGUCACAGAUUUUUAGUAUUCGUAUUGUUAUCUUAGAAAGUCUUACUGAUUAAAAUACUACAAUAGGUAACAAUUUGACAAUUUAGUAGUGUCAACCCUGUGAUUAUGACCCGUGUAUAUAGCAUAUUAAUCCUGAAUACACCGUUUGGUGGUGCGCCUGUCAGAUGCGGAACGUACA
rnacentral:lncRNA from 1 species